rnacentral:rRNA from 1 species
UCCCUUAGUAGCGGCGAGCGAACAGGGAAGAGCCCAGCGCCGAAUUCCGCGUCUCAAAGGGCGUUUGGAACAUGUGGCGUUUAGGAGGAAUCUCUCCGAGGGCAGACGGUGUCGCAAGUCCCCCUGAACGGGGCUGUGAUCCAGAGCGGGUGCGAGGCCCAUAGCUGGUACCGUCUCCUUUGGGUGUCCCCUCCUUGGAGUCGGGUUGCUUGGGAGUGCAGCCCUAAUUGGGUGGUAAACUCCACCUAAGGCUAAAUACGUCCGUGAGACCGAUAGCAAACAAGUACCGUGAGGGAAAGUUGCAAAGAACUUUGAAGAGAGAGUUCAAGAGUACGUGAAACCGCUCAGAGGCAAACGGGUGGGCCCACGAAAGCCGAAGGCGGGGGGAUUCAGUCGAGAGGACGGUGGGGCAGGACUGGCUGGUUGGACGGACCGUGCCAGGCCGGGUCAGUUCCCGAGAUCUGCCGCCUUUCGACGCAUUUCCCCCUGCUUAGUAGGACGCCGCAACCGGUUGGCGCUGCAGCCAUAAGGGAGAGUAAAUGGAAGGUAGCCAGUGAGUUCUUCUUCGGAGGCGCGAGCUGGUCCUAAGCCGACUCUCCUGGUGCUUGUGGCCCGACCGUGGUCGUGAGUCCCUCAACGGGAUGUCGCCGAGCCCUCUGACUGGAGCGGGAGAAGUGGCAGGCUGCUUUCCGCGGAAAAAAUCGAUCGCUUCACGCGUGCAGUGGGCGAUCUCCGGAGGUAGCUGCUGGUGCGUUUUUCUCCUGCGCUGGGCACAGGCAGUUGGCGGCGAGUAGGUCGGUCACCCACCCGACCCGUCUUGAAACACGGACCAAGGAGUCUAACAUGUGCGCGAGUCAUUGGGUCUUGAACAAGCCCAAAGGCGCAAUGAAAGUGAAGACCAGCACUGAAGCUGGUGGAGUUGGGAAACUGUGUCACUGAAGAUGCAGUUGCACCAACGGCCCGUCCCGUGCGCAUCGUCGGUGGGGCGGAGCGAGAGCGUACACGUUGGGACCCGAAAGAUGGUGAACUAUGCCUGGGCAGGACGAAGCCAGAGGAAACUCUGGUGGAGGUCCG